rnacentral:rRNA from 1 species
AUAUAUCGGAACGUACCCUAGAGUGGGGGAUAACGUAGCGAAAGUUACGCUAAUACCGCAUACGAUCUAAGGAUGAAAGUGGGGGAUCGCAAGACCUCAUGCUCGUGGAGCGGCCGAUAUCUGAUUAGCUAGUUGGUAGGGUAAAAGCCUACCAAGGCAUCGAUCAGUAGCUGGUCUGAGAGGACGACCAGCCACACUGGAACUGAGACACGGUCCAGACUCCUACGGGAGGCAGCAGUGGGGAAUUUUGGACAAUGGGCGAAAGCCUGAUCCAGCAAUGCCGCGUGAGUGAAGAAGGCCUUCGGGUUGUAAAGCUCUUUUGUCAGGGAAGAAACGGUGAGAGCUAAUAUCUCUUGCUAAUGACGGUACCUGAAGAAUAAGCACCGGCUAACUACGUGCCAGCAGCCGCGGUAAUACGUAGGGUGCAAGCGUUAAUCGGAAUUACUGGGCGUAAAGCGUGCGCAGGCGGUUUUGUAAGUCUGAUGUGAAAUCCCCGGGCUCAACCUGGGAAUUGCAUUGGAGACUGCAAGGCUAGAAUCUGGCAGAGGGGGGUAGAAUUCCACGUGUAGCAGUGAAAUGCGUAGAUAUGUGGAGGAAC